rnacentral:lncRNA from 10 species
UACAGAUACAUCAAUAGUUUGAUAUUUUAGAGAGGAAUGCUAAUUCAUUUGUAGAGUUCCAAAAAUUACCUUUUAAAACUUGGGUGACUGAAGAUAGUAUCCUUUCUCGGUAGUUGGGUAAGAAUCAGAAUUCUUGAGUGAAAGAGGUGGCGUGGGUUGGAGUAAAUCCCCACUUAAAAAGUGGUGCAGGGAAGUAGGGAAGGGAAUUAACAUUUAUUGAGCUCAUCCUUGAUCCUUUUUACAGGUAAACCCCAGAUGAAAAAGUUGGCUUGCAUUUAUAUCUUGUAUGAAAAACAUCUGUCAGUAAACAUUAGAAUUGCACUCUACACAAUGAGAUUUCAAACUGUGGGAUUAAAGUAAACACACGUGUGCAUGUGUCUUUAUCGUAGAAUGAUUUAUAAUCUUUUGGAUAUAUGCCCAGUAAUGGGAUGGCUGGGUCAAAUGGUAUUCCUAGUUCUAGAUCCUUGAGGAAUCGCCACACUGUCUUCCACAAUGGUUGAACUAAUUUACACUCCCACCAACAGUGUAAAAGCGUUCCUAUUUUUCCACACCCUCUCCAGCAUCUGUUGUUUCCUGAGUUGAUCUUUAUAUAGGGUGUAAGGAAGGGGUCCAGUUUCAGUUUUCUGCAUAUGGCUAGCCAGUUUUCCCCAACACCAUUUAUUAAAUAGGGAAUCUUUUCCCCAUUGCUUGUGUGUGUCAGGUUUGUCAAAUAUCAGAUGCUGGUAGAUGUGUGGUGGUAUUUCUGAGGCCUCCGUUCUGUUCCAUUGGUCUGUAUAUCUGUUUUGGUACCAGUACCUUGCUGUUUUGGUUACUGUAGCCUUGUAGUAAUGUUUGAAAUCAAGUAGCA